CGGAGGAGAGGGGGGAGUUUUAGGAAAUUAGAGGGUCCCUUAAANUGGGAGAGGAGGGAGGGGUCUUCUAACACCUUUGAGCAUCACCGCGNGCGGNCCCCCUUCCUCGGAGGGGGGUGCUCACGUUUUUAACAUCAAACACCCUANUGUANAAUGUUCUUUGCGCGAUCACGCGCGAAUCAAUACAACUUUCAACAACGGAUCUCUUGGCUCUCGCAUCGAUGAAGAACGCAGCGAAAUGCGAUACGUAAUGUGAAUUGCAGAAUUCAGUGAAUCAUCGAAUCUUUGAACGCACCUUGCGCCCCUUGGCAUUCCGAGGGGCACACCCGUUUGAGUGUCGUGAACAUCCUCAACCUGCUUCGUUCUAUCGAACCAAGUAGGCUUGGAAUUUGGAGGUUUUUCUGCUGGCUUCCUCUGAAGCCAGCUCCUCUUAAAUCUAUCAGUGGGAUCCGCUUUGCUUANAUCCUCGACGUUGAUAAGAUGUUUCUACGUCUUGGGUUUCGCUCGGGAAGGACCUGCUUCUAACCGUCCCCAUCGGGGACAAUGUUCGAGAGCCNAUCGCCCUUCACGGGGUGGGAAGCUUUUCGACCCAUGAAACCUUGACCUCAAAUCGGGUGAGACUACCCGCUGAACUUAAGCAUAUCAAUAA
rnacentral:rRNA from 1 species